rnacentral:rRNA from 1 species
AGAACGAACGCUGGCGGCAUGCCUAACACAUGCAAGUCGAACGCUCUUGGGGCUUCGGUUCCAAGGGAGCGGCGCACGGGUGAGUAGCGCGUGGGAACCUGCCCUGGAGUGGGGGAUAACCGAGGGAAACUUCGGCUAAUACCGCAUACGCCGGGAAACCGGGAAAGAUUUAUCGCUCUAGGAGGGGCCCGCGUCGGAUUAGGUAGUUGGUGGGGUAACGGCUUACCAAGCCUGUGAUCCGUAGCUGGUCUGAGAGGAUGAUCAGCCACACUGGGACUGAGACACGGCCCAGACUCCUACGGGAGGCAGCAGUGGGGAAUAUUGGACAAUGGGCGCAAGCCUGAUCCAGCAAUGCCGCGUGAGUGAUGAAGGCCUUCGGGUUGUAAAGCUCUUUCGCACGCGAGGAUGAUGACGCUAGCGUGAGAAGAAGCCCGGCUAACUUCGCGCUAGCAGCCGC